rnacentral:rRNA from 1 species
GACGAACGCUGGCGGCGUGCUUAACACAUGCAAGUCGAACGGAAAGGCCCUGCUUUUGUGGGGUGCUCGAGUGGCGAACGGGUGAGUAACACGUGAGUAACCUGCCCUUGACUUUGGGAUAACUUCAGGAAACUGGGGCUAAUACCGGAUAGGAGCUCCUGCUGCAUGGUGGGGGUUGGAAAGUUUCGGCGGUUGGGGAUGGACUCGCGGCUUAUCAGCUUGUUGGUGGGGUAGUGGCUUACCAAGGCUUUGACGGGUAGCCGGCCUGAGAGGGUGACCGGCGACAAUGGGACUGAGGGACGGAGGAGAAGACGACGGGCGGCAACAGAGGGAAGUCUUGCGCAAUGGGCGGGAGCCAGAUGCAGAGUCUGCGCGAGCGGGAUGACGGGCUGCGGGAGGAAAACAGGUAGCGCCGGAAACGCAGGGUGCGUGACGGUAAUUGGUAAAAAAGAACCGGCUAACUACGUG